rnacentral:rRNA from 1 species
GACGAACGCUGGCGGCGUGCUUAACACAUGCAAGUCGAACGGUGACGAGGAGCUUGCUCCUCCGAUCAGUGGCGAACGGGUGAGUAACACGUGAGUAACCUGCCCCAGACCCUGGGAUAACAGUUGGAAACAGCUGCUAAUACCGGAUACGAGACGGAGAGGCAUCUCUACCGUCUGGAAAGAUUUAUCAGUCUGGGAUGGACUCGCGGCCUAUCAGCUUGUUGGUGAGGUAAAGGGCUCACCAAGGCGACGACGGGUAGCCGGCCUGAGAGGGCGACCGGCCACACUGGGACUGAGACACGGCCCAGACUCCUACGGGAGGCAGCAGUGGGGAAUAUUGCACAAUGGGCGAAAGCCUGAUGCAGCGACGCCGCGUGAGGGAUGACGGCCUUCGGGUUGUAAACCUCUUUCAGCAGGGAAGAAGCGAAAGUGACGGUACCUGCAGAAGAAGCACCGGCUAACUACGUG